GGAGAGAUGUCUGAGUGGUCGAAAGAGCACGAUUGGAAAUCGUGUAUACCUGAAAGGGUAUCGAGGGUUCGAAUCCCUCUCUCUCCA
rnacentral:tRNA from 1 species